UGCAGAAGCUCCACAAUCCCUGCGAAUUACAUGCAUCGCAGAGGGGUAAUGAGAACAACCUCACCUGUCCUGUACUAAACGACAGCUGGUACCGUCUCUGGCAGCCAGAGCCAGCCCAAAACUAUUCGGAAGUCCACAACAAGUCGGAGCCGCGGUGAACAGUGUUUAGCUGGAGAGCGUGCAGACGCCGCAGUGGAGUGGCAGGCUGCGUCAGAGCGCUCCCACCUGGAAAAGCUGCUCUUUGUGGGGAACCGCACAGACAGCUGACCCCGGCAUCGGGGCUUUAUUAGCAUCCAGCCGGGAGAGAGGCGGCUCUCUGUGACGGGGACAGAUGAACGGCGGGAGCUGAAAUGCCACCUGUGCCAGUCAAGUGUCCCUCCAGACAGGGGACGGCACGUCUCUCCCAUGAGACUGCUUCUGCUCCGGGCUCCAGCUUCAGCGUUUUACCGCUGGGCCUCGGUAACGGCCCAGCUUUGGGUGCCUGUGCUGCACAGCAUCUAUCUGCCCAGUUCCAGAGCCUCGUCGCCGCUCGCCGCGAUCAGUUUUACUUAAGGCAAGAUUUGCAGACCAAUUACAGUUGUACUUCUCCUAUUUUUCAUUUAAAUUAGUCUGGCUGCAAAUGUGACAGAUCCGCCUCAAGCCAGAAGUCCUGCCCUUUCAGAAUGAUAUAUACCGGUAUGCGGAGCGGCAGAACAGAUGACUCAACAGUUUUCCCAAUUGUCCCGGACAGGGGAAGAUGUUUUUUUUUUAAAUCUGAGACAGGUACCCAGGAAAGGGUCAACCUUGGAAAAGACAGGUCAGUCUUGAGGCGCAUGUGAUUUUAAUCGAGUCGAUUCUGACAGCAGCGCUACAACUGGCGACUGUUCCAACGCAGCCUCUUGUCCACUCUUCACCUGAACCUUUUCCACCUGUGUUCAGUUUAGCUGCAUUCCCGACCCCUGUGACAACCACAGAGCUGAAGCCCCUCGCAGCCUCCCUUUGUGCGCCUCCCCCCGGAGACGACACGCAGAGAGGAGGACGAGAGGGGAACAACCGCACCUGCAGGGCAGUGGAGAAGCGCCCAGGUGCGCUCCGGCGCACGGCUCUCCGACUGGCCCAUUGCGGACUGGACGGCUCAGGCCGCUCAGGCUCGGGGUGUGCGCAGGGCUAGGAGCUCGGAACAAUGAGCUUGCGAGGCGACCUGAAGGAGUUUGAUUUAUAUACGGGGUGGGAGGUACAGUACUACGGCCAAGACGAAAUGCUGCCAAAUGUUGUUCUUGUUUUUUUUUUUUGGGGGGGGGGAGAAAAUAGUACCACUUUCCAUUUUCACCUCUUGAUUUUUGUUCUAAAACACUGCUCAACGGACGGAUUGCCUUUUGUCCUGGUCAGGUCGGAGAGCAGCUGCAAGAGGGGCAUCCUCUGAGUCAGACACACAAGACUCCUCGUGGCCGCCGUAGUGGAACAAUAAGAAGUAUGAUUUUGAAGAACUGCCCGGGACUAAUGGUCGUUGUUGACGACGCUGAACCUGUCCGGCAGCCCGAAGCAGCGCCCUCUGCUGGCGAUACGGGCCACUCGCAGGCUGACAGGCUCUGGUCAGUUGAGGCUGGUCGUUUGCUCCACGUCCCCAGGACUAAAUUUCGGACCGUUGGUGCCUUUGCUGUCUCUGCUCCAGUUGUAUGGAACGCCUUUCCUCAGACUCGACAAGAGACAAAUUCACUGACUCUCUACAAAUCAAAACUUAAAACUCAUCUUUUUGCUAGGGGUUAUGCGUGAUUCCCUUACAGUUAAUCCUGUAUGUUCUUGUUUCUUUGUAUAUGGCUGUUUGUUUCUCUUUUGUUCUUUAUCACUAUGUACAGUACAGCAUCCUUGGGUUUGGAAAGGCACUAAAAAAAUAAUUGUUAAUAAUUGUUCUCUUCCUCAUUCUCGUUCUUAUUCUAGGAGCAGAAAUUCACAAGGACACAUACAGUGUUGUGCUGAAAUAACACCCAUGUUAUUGGUUACCAAUAUAAUAACCAAUAUAAUUAUUGGCUAUAUUAUUUUUAACACUGGUCGUGUUAAAAAAAUCGGCUAAACCUGUCAGACAGUGGCCUAAAAAAACACAACAAAAUACAAAAGUAAAAAUUAAAUCAGGAAAAACAAAUUGAAACUAAUGGCAACUGCUUUUAAGACCGAGACCACGAGACACGUCUUUACACAAAGGGUUGUGGGAGUGUGGAACACGCUACAGUACAUCCUGGCUCCUUCUGAAGAACAGCUGCAUGACAGCCUUGGAUCAGUGAGGUAAUAGUGACUGAAUGGGCUGAAUGGCCUCUCGUUUGUAACCUGUCUUAAUUUCUCAUGUACAGACUUGGGGGUGAUGAGGUUUAACACAGAUCAGAAGAGCUGCUUCUCUUAUCUGCAAACCGUUGCAGAACUGGUUUGUGUCACUUGUAGAAAAAGGAGAGUGUUUAAAAUCCAAAUUGACUCUCAUGUCCAUAUGCACAGAGCACAGCCACUCCAUUAUUCAGACUGUCAAGCUCAGAAUGGAAUGCAGCAGAAAAAAGGUGAACUGGAGUCAUCUCAAAAUAGCCUCAAAAUACAUUCAGGCAAAAGAUUUUUAAACUACAGUAUGUGACAAACAAUUAACUUGUUUUGCACGUUUAACAUGAUUACCUUUAUUAAUCAUCUCUUAUUGGGCAGUUCUUUAUCUGUUCUGUCAAUUUCUAAUAACCUUUAAUCUUUUGUAUGAAUGUCUGGAAAAAUCUAUUGUUAUAUUUUCUGCAAGGAACAUGUAUCAAAAGGUGCUGCAGUGUGAAAUGUCAGUCCUGAAGGGAUGAUAAUUAUAUUUGACCUACUGUAUAUUAUCAGAGAACAAAUACUAGAUAGCUUGAAUGUAUAUACAUUGUUAUUCAUUUAAUGGGCUACAAUUUGAAAGCUUCUUUUUUCAGUUUGAAAUUAUAAUUUAACCCUGCAGUAAGGAGAAUAACACAAAUCUCACAGCAGAUUGCUGGAUGUAGAAGACCUAACAUCAUGAAACUACUAUAGAAAUUAAAACCCAAUGAAAAAAAACAGCAAAGAUUUUUUAAUCAGAUGCAGUUCUAUACCAUUUGUCAGAAAUGGAAUGUAUAUUUCGUAUAUUUUUAGGUUUUGGACAUGCACAACGCUAGUGUGCUGAUAAAGGCUGAACUUUGUUUCACCUGUUGAAAUGUCAGCUUUGGCAGUUCUGCACUGUGAUCUGUACUGGCAGUUAUUGAUGAUCUCUUACAGUGUAUUAUCCUCCUAGAGAAAAAAGGUGACCGAAAAGCUUUGCUUACAUGCCUCUAGACCACACAUCUCUCGAGUACUGACUGCAUUUUGUCAUUUCCAGCUUACCUGAGUCCCAUCUGUUUGAAAAGAAUUUUGAGCAAGCCUGUCAGGCAACCUUUUAAAAAAAUAGUCUGAGGGCACAUCGUAAAAAAUGAACCUAAAAAAAGUCAAAAGAAAAAAAUCUGUGUUCAUGCUUUCCCAGCGUCUACAGAUUGCUACUAUGAGAGAAACCAAAAUGACACUCGUGCAUUUUUUUGUAACAUUCAAAUAAAUCCAUCAAGAAUACUGUAAAUCUCUGCCCUAAGACAUGCUUAUAAAAGAGGAAAUUGUAUUAUAUAUAACAAGCUCUAUAAUCUUGAUUUGUGACAUUUAACUAUAAAA